GACGAACGCUGGCGGCGUGCUUAACACAUGCAAGUCGAGCGGUAAGGCCCUUUCGGGGGUACGACGAGCGGCGAACGGGUGAGUAACACGUGGGUGACCUGCCCUCAGCUCUGGGAUAAGCCUGGGAAACCGGGUCUAAUACCGGAUAUGACUCCAUGACGCAUGUUGUGGGGUGGAAAGCCUUGUGCGGCUGAGGAUGGG
rnacentral:rRNA from 1 species